rnacentral:tRNA from 1 species
GUCGUUCUAGCUCAACUGGCAGAGCUCCGGUCUCCAAAACCGGUGGUUGCAGGUUCGACCCCUGCGGACGGCG